rnacentral:rRNA from 1 species
UACGUAGGGUGCGAGCGUUGUCCGGAAUUAUUGGGCGUAAAGGGUCCGCAGGUGGGAUGGUACGUCUGAUGUGACAGCGCCUGGCUCAACUAGGCGUGGGCAUUGGAAACGGCUGUUCUUGAGUCACAGAGAGGGGUGCGGAAUUCCCGUGGUAGCGGUGAAAUGCGUAGAUAUCGGAAGAACGACCAGCGGCGGAAGCGAGCUGUACUGGGCCGACACUGACACUGAGA